AGGAUAAACGCUGGCGGCGUGCAUGAGACAUGCAAGUCGAACGGACGAUCAGGGCUUGCUCUGAUCGUUAGUGGCGGACGGCUGAGUAACGCGUAGGUGACCUGCCCCGAAGUGGGGAAUAACUGCCCGAAAGGGUGGCUAAUACCGCAUGUGGUGGUGCCUUCACUGGCAUCAGUAAAGCCGCAAGGCGCUUCGGGAGGGGCCUGCGUCCGAUUAGCUCGUUGGUGGGGUAACGGCUCACCAAGGCGACGAUCGGUAGGUGGUCUGAGAGGACGAUCACCCAGACUGGGACUGAGACACGGCCCAGACUCCUACGGGAGGCAGCAGUCGGGAAUUUUUGCGCAAUGGACGAAAGUCUGACGCAGCAACGCCGCGUGAGGGAUGACGGCCUUCGGUUGUAAACCUCUUUGUCAGGGACGAUGAUGACGGUACCUGACGAAUAAGUCACGGCUAACUACGUGCCAGCAGCCGC
rnacentral:rRNA from 1 species